UUCAACGUGUAUGGACAUCCUGAAUCAAU
rnacentral:sRNA from 1 species